UACGGAGGGUGCGAGCGUUGUCCGGAAUCAUUGGGCGUAAAGGGCGCGUAGGUGGCCCGGUCAGUUCGUGGUGAAAGCGCGGGGCUCAACCCUGCGUCGGCCAUGAAUACUGCCGCGGCUGGAGCACUGUAGAGGCAGGCGGAAUUCCGGGUGUAGCGGUGGAAUGCGUAGAGAUCCGGAAGAACACCGGUGGCGAAGGCGGCCUGCUGGGCCAGUUGCUGGACACUGAGGCGCGGACAGCGUGGGGAGCAAACAGGG
rnacentral:rRNA from 1 species